GGAGAGAAUCAUUUUCGCAGGAUCCUCAAAACCGUGUCUUUUUGACACAACUGCUGACAGCUACAUUGACAUAAACACAAAAAAUGCUGCUUGGAGACAAGUGUCCACGAUAGUAGGAUUGCCAGAAGACUGUAGGAGGAAGUGGAGAGGACUCGGGGACAGGUAUCAGAGAGAGAGAAGGGCAGAAAAAGAGAAGAAGAGGUCUGGGUCAGCAGCUUCAGGCCAGCAGCCUUGGUGCUUCUGUCACAUUCUUUCUUUUCAGGAUCCAUUUAUUGUGCCUAGUGCAACCGGUGGCAAUUUUACAGCCAGACCCUUUACUUCAUCCACAAGUGUGGGCGCCACCGGUGCAUCCAGACCCUCUACGUCAUUUACAAGUGAGACCACCGCCUCCACGGGUGCAGCGAGACCCUCUACAUCAUCCACAAGUAUGACCACCACCGGUGCAGCCACGGAAGAUGAUGAAAUGGAGGAAGCACGUCUGGAUCUAGGACCACUUGAGAUUAUUAUGACCCUCAAGGAAGUGACCACUGAGGACCUUGAACAGGAUGUGGCCGUGGAGACAAACGAGGAGAGAAACAUGGAGAAAUGAAGAGGAACAACGUCACACCAGGCACUAUCGGAGGUAGGAGCCCCCAGAUCCCCUCAACUCAUUUCAGCAGAGGCUCCUCCAAGCCAUCGGGAGGGAUGCAGCCCAACCUGAUGCUCACAGGAAGGAGGAUUAAGAAACCCUCUUUGCCAUGAGCCUGUUGCCAACACUGAAGAGGCUGCCUCAGCAAAGAAAAGCAGCAGUCAGGGUUAAAAUUCAUCAGCAGCUACACAUUCACUUUUAGUUUUUUCAGACACACACACCUUUCCUCCACUCCUCUCUGUACCUCAGAUCUACAGUGCCCUGCCCUCUCUACCUUUAUGGCCAUGUCUGAAGUCCCCCUACUAUGUCUAGGCUUUAUGAGUAGUCCCUGUAUCUGUCUGCAGUUCCCCUACUACGUCUAGGCUUUAUGAGUAAUCCCUGUAUCUGCCUGCAGUUCCCCUACUACGUCUAGGCUUUGAGUAGUCCCUGUAUCUGUCUGCAGUUCCCCUACUACGUCUAGGCUUUAUGAGUAGUCCCUGUAUCUGUCUGCAGUUCCCCUACUACGUCUAGGCUUUAUGAGUAGUCCCUGUAUCUGUCUGCAGUUCCCCUACUACGUCUAGGCUUUAUGAGUAGUCCCUGUAUCUGUCUGAAGUUCCCCUACUACGUCUAGGCUUUAUGAGUAGUCCCUGUGUCUGUCUGCAGUUCCCCUACUACGUCUAGGCUUUAUGAGUAGUCCCUGUAUCUGUCUGCAGUUCCCCUACUAUGUCUAGGCUUUAUGAGUAGUCCCUGUAUCUGUCUGCAGUUCCCCUACUACGUCUAGGCUUUAUGAGUAGUCCCUGUGUCUGUCUGCAGUUGUGCCAGAAAUGCAUGCUCUUGUUGUUCUCUUACAGAUUACAGGCUACACAUACAUUUUUUUAUUUUUACACGCACAUACACACACACACACCUCUUUCAAUAGUUUUAAUUUUGAAAAACAUUUUUACAACACACAUACUUGUACUUUUACAACAACACACCUGUACUUGAAUACUUAUUCAAUUAUGUUUUCAUAGUCAGUUGUUUCAGUUGUUUAUUAAUAUCUCAUUAAGACUUAAUCUGCUAAUUUCUUCCCUACACCUUCGCAGAUCUAAGACAAGAUUAAAGUAAAAAUACAUUCUCUUCCUAAUUGGGUUUUUUUCCACCUGCAUUUUGUCAGACCAGUGAAGAUGGUGGUAAACUAUAUUAUCUGUAUGGACCCUAGGUUACCUUUUCCCAUUGUUAUCAUACUAACUGUGUGUCUUAUAAUUAG
rnacentral:lncRNA from 1 species